GAAAAUAACUAUGAUUCCCUUAGUAACGGCGAGUGAACAGGGAAAAGCCCAAAUUUGUAAUCUGGCACUUUUUACAAGUGUCCGAGUUGUAAUUUGUAGAACUGUUAUCCGCGCUGGACCAUGUACAAGUCUGUUGAAAAGCAGCAUCAUUGAAGGUGAAAAUCCUGUAGAUGAUAUGGACUACCAGUGCAUUUGUGAUACGGUUUCUAAGAGUCGAGUUGUUUGGGAAUGCAGCUCAAAGUGGGUGGUAAAUUCCAUCUAAGGCUAAAUAUAAGUGAGAGACCGAUAGCAAACAAGUACCGUGAGGGAAAGAUGAAAAGAACUUUGAAAAUAGAGUUAACAGUACGUGAAAUUGCUGAAAGGGAAACGUUUGAAGUUAGUUUUGUAUUCGUUGGAUCAGCUUCGCAAGGAGUGUAUUCUGAUGAUAAGCAAGUCAACAUCAAUCUAUGAGUGUCGGAGAAGGGUUUUGAGAAUGUAGCAAUUUUUAUUAAUUGUGUUAUAGCUUGAGACUUGGAUACGUGCUUUGGAUUGAGGAACGCGUAGUAAGCUUUGAGCGGAUUCGAAAGGAUCUCCUUACUAUGGAUGUUGGUGAAAUAACUUUAAGCGACC
rnacentral:rRNA from 1 species